UCACCGGCAGGGGAAAGUCGAGCGUUCGAGGCGGAUUUUAUUGUUAUUCUCCCGCUCCCUCCGCCCGCGUCUUUUCCAGUUUGGGAAGCCACGGUCUAGAGCUGUCAAGCGACCUGUCCAGCCUGCUAAUGUAGUUCUCAAACUUUACUGUCCGUCGAGGAUGUCGGGAGCCCUCAUUUGAGAAAUGCAGAUUCAAGUAUGUGGAGCCCACGAACGGGCAUGUUAAAUCAGCAGCUGUGAUGCUCAAGUGGCCACUCAGGAAGCACCUCCCUACGGGCUUCUCUCACGGAGAGUUUGGGCUUCCUCACAACAUGGCGACCUCAGGACAGCAGACUACAGCGCUUCCACGGGAGCUGAAGACUUCCAGGGCAAGUAUUCUGGCUAAGAAGCUGGAAGCUGCACGGCGUUCUGCGAUCUGGCCUCAGAAGGCAGAGAACUCAAGGACAUCACGCUCACAAUCUUCUGAGGAACUGUUGUGCUGCAAAGGGAAGGAACUCAGCAUUGCUGGAUUCCAAGGAAGAGUGGAUUGCAAUUCAUUGUGCAGAGGAGACUUUCACCAGUGAGUGCUGUCCAGCCGGGGCUGGGGUGAGCCCCCCGUCAUGGAGGAGUGCAAGUAUCGGCAAGGGAUAUUUACGAAAGGACGCAUCCCCUGACACUCCCGUGGGGACACUACUGCAUGGCUUCUCAGCCUCCCGUCUCUGAGAAGCUCUGUCUUUGCGAUUGUUUGAAAUGGAAUGCUAGGAGUUGAGAAAGCAAUGAAAGAAAUCCACUGAAGUGAGGACCAAGCUAUAAAAAAAAUCUUUAUUUCAUGUACCAGGAUUUUUUUCUUUUUUUAGUUUUCUGCUUUUUAAAAUUUUUUUCUGUUAACAGUCUGGAAAAAAAAAGGACCCACCAAGAAAAUAAAAUGGAGGUUGGUUUCUUGAACUGGUUUGAGCUGGACAUGAGCAAUCAUCCACCCUGGCAAGCAGUGCCCUUGCCAUCGCAGUCCUGGCUUCUUCCCUCUGGGCCCCCAGCCCUUUCUCAGCCCAGCUGGGUUCACCUACACCCAAUGGCCUUCUUCCAGAGGACCCAGGACCCCGGCCUCCCGGCCCGGAGAGAAGCACUGAUUUCCGUCCCGGACACUCGGCCACAACAGAUUGGGGCCAGCUGUCCGUUCCGGACAGCGCCGGCUCGUUUGUUGUCGUUGGUGGGCCCCACUCUUCUCUCCAGUCCUCGAGCCUUUCCGGUGUGGAAUCUGGUGGGGUGGAGGGCCAGGCUGGAGUGGGGAGGGAGUGGUCGUGAUUUCUGCCCAGACUGGAAACACUGGGUGGUCGCCACACCUGGUACUGGCCCCCAUUGCUCUGCCCUGGGGCCUGGGGGCCUCAUGGGAACUGCUGGGUUGGGCCGGCAGAUCUGCCUUGUGGUUCAGGCUGAAUUUAGGGUUCCAGAUGCUGCUGACCUAAGAACAGAGCUUUCCUUUCCCAGACAAAAGAUGGGAAGGGGAGCUGGGAGUGUGGAAACCCCAAAAGCCUUGCUAGCCACUCCCCUCACCUUAAGAAACUUCAGGCCAGGGCAGUGUCAAGAAAGAGGCAAACCGAGACAUGCAGAUGGGCAC